rnacentral:lncRNA from 1 species
CUGCUUCCCAGACCCCUUGCAGCUCCCAACGGUUCACUGCCCUGACUGCCCUACACAGCAGCUGCCUCUGCUCACCUGCAGCUUUCAGGCUUCUGCUGCACCAUGUCCCUUCUCAUCUCAAGACAUAUUUCCUCCUCCUGUUGGCUUGGCCCUGCGGCAUCUGCUGGUGGGAAGCUGUGACAGUGCCCUCCACCAGCUGGUGCUCCCCCCCGGCUGAUUUGGAGGCAGGAGGAACAGGCCUGAGAAACCAGCCCCAAAUGUGAACAUGAGAUCCAGGUCUGGAGUCCGAACAUGUCCUUGUUUCUGUGUGCCUGUUGGGUUUUGGUGUGAUCCAGUUUGAGAGAUGGGGGCCACCAAGAUACAGAGGCCUGCACUGAGAGGCAGAUCUCCACAUCUUUCCCCACCAAACCAGCGCGGCAGAGCCAGCUGCAGCUUCAGUACGGACACUACCCAUUCUUUCCAGAUGGCUUUACAACAGAGCGGUCGCCUGCUGGCCAAAACACAGGGAAAUGAGUCUGGACCUCUAGAACCAAAAACACAAGCCACAGCUUGGACUGAAGAUUCGGAGGUGCUCGCUCUGCAACUUGCCUCUGUAGCGCUUCAUACAGGGGGCUACAGUAGCACGAGCCAUUUCUCAAAGAACAUGUUGCAAGAACGUUAUAAAUUAUGCAGGAUUAAUGUUUAUUUCGAUGGUAGUCACUGUUGGGUAGAUACUCCAUGCCAAAAUAGACAAGCAGAGAAAUUUUGGCUACAUCCGUAAUACUAAACAAAAUGAGGCUGCUCGUGUGAAGCCCCUGAGGACAUAGCGAAAUAAUUGCCUUGUUUGUGGGCUUUUCCAGUUCAAAGGGUCUGAAAUAGCAUGGUGACUGGCCUGCAGGCUGUCAGAGUGGUGUUUUCAUAGUAUGAAACUGAACCUGUAUGUUACAUGUGGGCGUAGGAGACAGAGGAAUUGAGACUUCAUGUCUCAGACUUUAAAAACCAAAAAUAAACAUGGCCCUAUUGAAGAGUCUGUGUGUUUU